UACAGAGGGUGCAAGCGUUAAUCGGAAUUACUGGGCGUAAAGCGCACGUAGGUGGCUUGAUAAGUUGGGUGUGAAAUCCCCGGGCUUAACCUGGGAAUUGCAUUCAAGACUGUCUUGCUAGAGUGUGGAAGAGGGAAGCGGAAUUCCAGGUGUAGCGGUGAAAUGCGUAGAUAUCAGGAGGAACACCGGUGGCGAAGGCGGUUCUCUGGGCCUUACCUGACGCUGAGGAGCGAAAGCGUGGGGAGCGAACAGG
rnacentral:rRNA from 1 species